rnacentral:rRNA from 1 species
UGAACGCUGGCGGUAUGCUUUACACAUGCAAGUCGAACGGCAGCACGGGGCAACCUGGUGGCGAGUGGCGAACGGGUGAGUAACAUAUCGGAACAUAUCCGGAAGUGGGGGAUAACGUAGCGAAAGUUACGCUAAUACCGCAUAUGCCCUGAGGGGGAAAGGGGGGGAUCGCAAGACCUCUCGCUUUCGGAGUGGCCGAUAUCGGAUUAGCUAGAUGGUGAGGUAAAGGCUCACCAUGGCGACGAUCCGUAGCGGGUCUGAGAGGACGACCCGCCACACUGGAACUGAGACACGGUCCAGACUCCUACGGGAGGCAGCAGUGGGGAAUUUUGGACAAUGGGCGCAAGCCUGAUCCAGCCAUACCGCGUGAGUGAAGAAGGCCUUCGGGUUGUAAAGCUCUUUCAGCCGGAAAGAAAUCGCACUUUUUAAUACGGAGUGUGGAUGACGGUACCGGAAGAAGAAGCACCGGCUAACUACGUGCCAGCAGCCGCGGUAAUACGUAGGGUGCGAGCGUUAAUCGGAAUUACUGGGCGUAAAGCGUGCGCAGGCGGUUUUGUAAGACAGAUGUGAAAUCCCCGGGCUUAACCUGGGAACUGCGUUUGUGACUGCAAGACUCGAGUACGGCAGAGGGGGGUGGAAUUCCACGUGUAGCAGUGAAAUGCGUAGAGAUGUGGAGGAACACCGAUGGCGAAGGCAGCCCCCUGGGUCGAUACUGACGCUCAUGCACGAAAGCGUGGGGAGCAAACAGGAUUAGAUACCCUGGUAGUCCACGCCCUAAACGAUGCCAACUAGGUGUUGGAGAAGGAGACUUCUUUAGUACCGUAGCUAACGCGUGAAGUGGCC